rnacentral:rRNA from 1 species
GACUCGUCACACUAUCAUUAACUGAAUCCAUAGGUUAAUGAGGCGAACCGGGGGAACUGAAACAUCUAAGUACCCCGAGGAAAAGAAAUCAACCGAGAUUCCCCCAGUAGCGGCGAGCGAACGGGGAGGAGCCCAGAGCCUGAAUCAGCAUGUGUGUUAGUGGAAGCGUCUGGAAAGGCGCGCGAUACAGGGUGACAGCCCCGUACACAAAAGCGCAUGUGCUGUGAGCUCGAUGAGUAGGGCGGGACACGUGGUAUCCUGUCUGAAUAUGGGGGGACCAUCCUCCAAGGCUAAAUACUCCUGACUGACCGAUAGUGAACCAGUACCGUGAGGGAAAGGCGAAAAGAACCCCGGCGAGGGGAGUGAAAAAGAACCUGAAACCGUGUACGUACAAGCAGUGGGAGCCCCACCACUAAGCCAGUGGUGAACUCCACAUACGCAUCCUUUGCUGAGGAUACGGUUAACGGAGCGAAAGCGACGUUCAACCGCAAAAGAAGCAGAGGGGGCUUAGUGGUGGGGUGACUGCGUACCUUUUGUAUAAUGGGUCAGCGACUUAUAUUCUGUAGCAA